UGUACAGAAACCCCGAAGCCCAAAGGCCGAAAAAACUAGUACGUACAUCUCUUCCACCUCCUCCUCUUCAUCUUCCUCCCUCUGUUUUUUUCCCGAUCAACUCCCUCCUUCGUAUCCUUAACGUCUACCCGGCGCUGUCUACUCCUCCUCCCCAUUCCUCGUCGCGCCGCGGCUCUAGCCUCCCGAAGCGCGCGGUGUUUGCAUCCCCGAGCGGCUGGUGCUGGUAGUUUCGGCCGAGGCAAGGCAUCGCGGUCGUUGUGCACCGGUGCUGCUCGACGGAAAGCCCCACCGAGAGUGUUCAUGGUGCUUCAAGUUCCCAAACGCCAGGAUGAAGACUGGACCUGCACCGAGACCAUGCACACCCUCUCUAGUUUCCAACAAAUCGUGAAUCAGGUUUGGUUUUUUCCAUGCACAUGAAUGAGUUGGUAUCCUAUGGAAUUGAAUACAAGAUAACUCAAGAUAAGGGGGACACAUGCUAAUGCUCCUAGUUUAGUUAUCCUUGUGGUCGCAACUCCUUUCCUUGAGGCCAUGCAUGUUUUGCCAAGUUCAUGCAGAUGUAGGACUAAUGGCCAUGAGUGCAGCAUGUUACUCUCCUCUAUGCACAAAAAUAUACAUGCCACCAUGUGAAGUGUUCAAUUAAGCAUUACUAGUCUUGGACCUUUAAUAUUACAAAAGCAAAAGUAUCUAGAUAACUUUAUGGAAAUUAUAAUGCUUGUAACUAGG